rnacentral:misc_RNA from 1 species
GCCGGACGGGAAGGGGAGG